rnacentral:rRNA from 1 species
UACGUAGGGUGCGAGCGUUGUCCGGAAUUAUUGGGCGUAAAGAGCUCGUAGGCGGCUUGUCGCGUCGGAUGUGAAAGCCCGGGGCUUAACUCCGGGUCUGCAUUCGAUACGGGCAGGCUAGAGUUCGGUAGGGGAGAUCGGAAUUCCUGGUGUAGCGGUGAAAUGCGCAGAUAUCAGGAGGAACACCGGUGGCGAAGGCGGGUCUCUGGGCCGAUACUGACGCUGAGGAGCGAAAGCAUGGGUAGCGAACAGG